rnacentral:lncRNA from 1 species
UAUUAGCAAUAUUUUCAACUAGAAAUCUGUAAAAAAAAACUAUACCUGGUUUCUGAAAAAAUACAGCUCCACUUGUAAUUCCCUCAACUUACACCAAGUCUAUUAUAAUUAAGAUUUUGAACCAUAAGAGGGUGUAGAGGCCUAAAACGUCAAAGAUGUAAAAUCAAAACCUCAUGAUUGUUUGUUUGCAUCGUCAAAAUAUAUCCAACAAAACUACUUGUAUAAAAUGUACACAAAAUACAAUGCUACAAAUUCAUAUUCACAGUUUAAAAAUGCUUUAACAAGAUUAAAUAAUAUACAAUUAGUUUGAUAAACAAUUUAUAAUCCUCAUAGUCUGUUUUAGUAAAGUGCUUUUCGUGAUAGAAUAGCUAUCAUUUCUACUGAUUACUUAACCUUACGUCAUUAUUUUAUGUAUCUUUUUGACAAGGGAUGUGAUAUGGUUGCCGAUUCCAAUGAACCAACUAAAAAUGCGCUACAACUUCGUACACAGUUCGGCCUUUUUAACCUUUUUUUUUUAUUUUGAGCGUCACUGAUGAGUCAUUUUAGACAAAAAGCGCAAACGUUUAACACUGGUUUCUAUGAUGAGUUUAUUUACCGUAUAAGCUGAUAUAGGUUGAUAAUUUGAAAAUGUUAAAAUAGGUUUUUAGAGGUUUCGAUAUUCCCAUAUUUCCAAAUAAAAAAAUCCAGUAUUUAAAUAUAAAUACUUUACUAUGGUUAAAAGUUUAAACAAAAAAUGAAUUGUCUAACAACGUCUACGCUAAAUAUUUUAUAUUUGAUUUGCAGAGGUUUGAUUGUAUGAAUGUUUCUUCAUGGUACAAUUAUGUGAAAAUAGCAAACCAAGAUCAAUCUGAUCCGUAAUGGCGUGAAUAAUGUUGUAUUUCAUAAUUUUAUUUAUAUGAUUUUCAAUCUAUUUGCAACCUUGAAAAUAUCCAGUAUUUCAAAAAUAAGUUAUAUUGAUAUAUCAUAAAACAUUAAAGCAUUUUGUAUAUAACACAAUAAUAUAAAGUAUCAACAUUAUACUGCUAUGACUUUGAAGGCAUUUAAAGUGAAUUAUUUGUAAAACAAAAUAAUGAAAUGCAGUCAAUAGCCAUUUUUAAAAUCACAAUUUAACCUUGUUUUAUUACAAGAAGAAAAUACACGAUGAAUUAAAAUAGGCCUCGUUCUUUUAGAUUAUAGUUCCCUCAUGUCAAUUCCAUUUCAGUAUUCUAUAUAUCUCGUUUUAGGAAAUUCUUCCGAUUCCAAACAGAAGACAACAUUUGUAUGAAACCUCAUUUGUUAUAAUAAUAAAGAUUCCAUUUGGUACAAUUCUUGUUAGAACUAGCAUGUUCUAAUUGUGAAAUAUUAAAUUAAAAAUAAAACUCAAAGUAAAUAAUUGUCUAUAUUAACUCUCUGGUGUUUGAUAAAAUGAAAAAAAAUGCAUAACAGUCAGGAAAAAAACAACAAUAUUUCUAGACGUUUGGUAUCACAAGGUUAAUUAUGGCACAUAUGGUACACAAUACUGAAACGACUAGCACUUCUACAUUUUCUUCGUGGACAUGCUACAAUCAGAUUCAAUCCAUCAAGCAGUCCUGAAUCCUGGACUUAAAUAUUUAUAGUUUUUCUUAAGUUUUGAUUGUCACAUUGCAGUACUAGUGAAUACACUAGUAAAAUCGAUAUGAUAUAUUAUAUUUACUUUCAAUCAUUGAAAUUAUAUACAAAAUAGAAAUACAAUUUAUCUGUUUGAAUAAACAUUCUUCAUUAACUAAAGUAGGAAAGAUUAGAAAUUAAACCAUUAUUACAAUGUUACAACUAAGUCUAUUGUUAAACCAAAAAUUCCCGAUUAUAACAAGU